rnacentral:lncRNA from 1 species
UCUUCUUCCACGCUCGAGGCCUACCACACAUCACCCUGGAUCUGUCGAUCCCGCGGCCAUAGUGCUCCCCGGCGCUUGGGGGGAUGUCCAUGAGCUUCACCGCCGCCAUCUCCUUCGCCUACAUGCAUCGAAUCGAGCAGGGAGGCCCAGUACGCUCGUCACCGCGUCGUCUUCCUCACCUUCGGCCGCCGCACUGCAUCACCGUCUUCCUGCACUCCGGCCCUCCCUGACUCUUUCCGACCACGGCCGCAACAUCUCUGUGAGGCCCCGUUGAUUCCCUCCUUCCUUCCCCCCUUUUUUGUUUCUGUCGUUGUAGCCACCGUGGUCGAUGCCCGUCAUGGCCACGCCCUAAGGCCGUGUUGCUCGCGUCCUCUGUUCUCUGCACGCGCCCAUAGUCGCGUCCCCACGAGGUCCGCGCCCUCCUACUCCGCCUAGCGCUCGCCGGAUUCGCUUGCCGUGCCCGGCCAACCCCGCGGUGCCCCGCCCGUGCGGCCCGCUCUGGCGCCCACCCACACGUCCCCGCCACCGCCUACACGCCACCCUGCCAACCGAGUCUGGCCGCUCUGGACUCGCCCCCCCUCCCGCGCUGGCCGCCGCUCUCCGGCCGACGGGUGCUGCUGCCGACCGUUACCAGGCGCGGCCAUGGCCGUGUGUCCCUGUCGCGCGGGCGUGCAUGCCCCUGGCCUGCUCGCCAACUGCCGCCGACCACGCCGCAUUGCUGCUUCGGCCGCCGCCGCCGCCUCCGGCUUGCUUGCUCUGCCCGCCCGCGUAGCCCUGGGCCCGUGUGUCGCCUCGCCGCAGCCGAACGCGCUUGCCCGCUACUGCGUUGCUUCUGCCUGCAACCGCUGCCGCUAGCUGCUCAUGCUGCUACGUUGCUCGAUGCCUGUUGCUACAGUAACAUUCAGUUACUGUAGCAGUAGCUAGCUUUGUACUGCUACUGCUUACUGACUAGCCCUUUUUGCUUCAACAAAACAGACAACAAAUCACUUCGAAAAUAAAUAAAAAUGGUGGGAAUAGUUUGUACAUUUGACCAACUCCAUUUCAUCUCACUGGAACAAGUCCAUUAGGUGCAUGGUUUAAUUCCUACAAAAAUGACAAAAGUGCAUAUUCUGUUAAGAGAGAAAAUUGUAGAAACAGAUUACUAACUAAGCUAGUUUCGGCUAUAUUUGGACUAGCUAUGUGCACUGUUCAUGCCAUCAGAUGGCAUGGAUUGGUAGUACUCUUGAAGUAGAGUAAAUCGUUUAUAGGAAUCAUCCCCAUUAGAGCUAUGAAUAACCCAUUCUAGCCCUCACAAAUUGGCUAGUCAAUAAAUAGAUUCUAAGACUUGGUAGAAUUUCAAAAAAUUUAGAAAACUUUUAGAACUUUGAAACUUCAUAGAAAUUAAAUAGUAACUCCGAUGAAAAUGUUUACUACAUGAAAGUUGCUCAGAAAAACGUGACGAACCCGAUUACGCUAUCCACAUACCUGUCAGAUUCCUCCAGCACUGCAAACAUGGAACCUUCCCCUUCGGUUCAUCUGUCUGAUAGAUGUCUGAAAUCGGGAAAACCUUCCGGUUAAUUUCCCGCUUCGUCCGCAACGUGUAGCAUUGUGUUAGGUCACCCCCAACGCAACAUUUUGCUUUGUCAUGCUUUGUAAUGCAUUGUUUGCUCUGUUAUUUAUUAUGUUCCCCCUUCGUUACUUCUUUACGGUAGAUCCCAAGACCGUUGUUGAUCCGAUGAUCGACUACUUCACCAUCGAGGAUAUGAGUCUGUCACCAGAGCUUCCAGGCAAGCAAACCCCCCUUGAGCAUUCCGAUAUCGCCCAUUUCUUUCCCUCUCAUGCUUGCAUUAGAACUGCUACUGCUUUAUGUAUGAUCCUACUCUGGUGCAUAGGCUGUUUUUGUUACCUCCUCUCAUACCUUACCUGCUUAUCCUAAAACUGCUUAGUAUAGGUUGGUUAGAGAUCCAUCAGUGACCCCCACCUUGUCCCAGUUGCCCUGCUUUAUGUUCAAUGACUCGAGCAACGUGAUCGACGUUCAGGCCCCGACACCGCACAUCACUUUCCCCUUUUGUUGCUCGACUCUGCAGAGUUACCAUCGAGUGCCGAGGGUGGAACCUCAUACAUCACUCCUGAUGAGAUCUCUGUAGUGUAGGUAUUCGGUCGUGGUCAUUGAAGGUGAUUUCCUCCUUAACCACUUCCGUUACGGCUCUGUCGUGCAACCCCUCAAGUGUGAACCUCGAGGGUGGAUCCUCUUACGUUCACCUUGAUGAUAACAUCGAGUGGAAUUCACCGGGGGUGAUUCCUCGGGUUUCCCCCUUGGUGUUAGACACACAGUUACUAUGGUUACUAUGACCUUACACUGAAUCAUUUUACUAAAGACGGGUCGGCCUCGAGGGGUACCCGCGCGAGCUUAAUAGCGAGUGAUGUGGAGUCGGGUUGACCUGGAAGGUGCCCGUGAGAUACUUACAAGGCGUGGCUGGGCAUUCUUAGCCCUUGCCGCAAGUACUUGAGACGGGGCGACGGGGUCACAUCGAUCGUGAGUCUCUGCUCGUUACCGUGUGGUCCUAAUGCACUAUGGUUUGGAUAUUUGAUUCGAGGGGCCUCUGGCCUGAUAGCACUAACCAUCAUGUGGGCAUUGUAUGGGCGUUCUGCGUCAUAUACAUCAGCCGAAGCUUAAUAGACGUCAGCGACUGAGCGACGUGCGCCGGGUUGGACUGCGUAAGCUGCUGCCUUGUUGAAGGAGGUAGUUAGGUCUGCUCACCGGCUGCCCACGCAACGUGCAGGAGUUCCCGGGGCGAUGUCCCAUGACCCCUGGGGGCAUAGAUUUAGUCCGGCGUGCUGGCCUCUCUAUAAGCCUAGGUCGAGUUGCGACGUAUUGUUUGGCCGAGGCCGGGAAUGACCCAGGAAAGUGUGUCCGGCCGGAGUUAAUCGAGCAUGGUCGGUAAGUUGGUGCACCCCUGUAGGGAAGAAAACAUCUAUCGAUAGCCUGUCCUACGGUAACGGACACUUGGAGUUGUAUCCCGAUCAAUACAACUAGAAGUGGAUAAUGGAUAUGAGAAAUGGAUUGUGAUGAGAAAUAGAUAGUAUGGCUCUGGGAUUGCUUUCUCGCAGGGAGUUGAGAAAGGAUCUCUAGUCGAGGUUGAUAACACUUCUACUACUUUACUUUAUGCUACUCUACUCCCUUUCUCUUCUGGCAUUCUGCAGUUUAGCCCACAGAUACAACCAUUUGUUUGAUACAGAUGCAUACUUAGUUUAGAUCUGAUGUAAGUCUUGCGAGUACUUUGGAUGAGUACUCACGAUUGCUUUGCUACCUCUUUUCCCCCAUACCCGUUUGUUGCGACCAGAUGACGGAUCCUAGGAGCCAGACGACACCACUUAUGAUUACUGCUACCCCAAGGGUGCCUACUACUACGUGGCGGCCGCUGACGACUUGGAGUAGUUAGGAGGCUCCCAGGCAGGAGGUCUUGCCUUUUCGAUCGAUGUUGUUUUUGUGCUAGCCUUCUUAGGGCAAACUUGUUUAACUCGGGUCUAUACUCAGAUAUUGUUGCUUCCGCUGACUCUUGUGUAUUCGAUCCCUCAAGGCCCCUGGCUUGUAAUAUAAAGAUUGUAUUAUUUUAAUUUGUGUCUAGAGUUGUGUUGUGAUAUCUUCCCGUGAGUCAUUGAUCUUGAUCGUACACAUUUGCGUGUAUGAUUAGUGUACGAUUGAAUCAAGGGUGUCACACGUAUGCCUUUUGGUUUAUGUAAUGCACCUGCUACCUUUCAAUGAUGUGUGACUCCUAUAUUCUCUGACUUUUGUGAAAAGAUUGUUGAGGUUUUCAU